AACCUGCUAAGUAAUCGAUAAUCCACGUUAAAUUUCACUUUUAUUUAUAUUUUAUAUACCUCCAUCUCAAGAAUUUAUUUUUAUAAUAUUAUUCACAAAAGAUAACUAGCAAGUUAGGUAAAGGUGUAGACAACAUAAAAGAUAUAGUGGGUUACUUUAAAUAUUAUUUAAGGAAAAAUAAUAAAAAUUAUUUUAUAAAAAGGAUUUAUAAGUAAUGUUUUAAUAAUAUUAAAAUUUGAAAAUAAAAAUAAAUGUGC
rnacentral:rRNA from 1 species